rnacentral:rRNA from 1 species
GAUGAACGCUGGCGGCGUGCCUAAUACAUGCAAGUCGAGCGAAUGGAUUAAGAGCUUGCUCUUAUGAAGUUAGCGGCGGACGGGUGAGUAACACGUGGGUAACCUGCCCAUAAGACUGGGAUAACUCCGGGAAACCGGGGCUAAUACCGGAUAACAUUUUGAACCGCAUGGUUCGAAAUUGAAAGGCGGCUUCGGCUGUCACUUAUGGAUGGACCCGCGUCGCAUUAGCUAGUUGGUGAGGUAACGGCUCACCAAGGCAACGAUGCGUAGCCGUCCUGAGAGGGUGAUCGGCCACACUGGGACGGAGACACGGCCCAGACUCCUACGGGAGGAAGCAGUAGGGAAUCUUCCGAAAUGGACGAAAGUCUGACGGAGCAACGCCGCGUGAGUGAUGAAGGCUUUCGGGUCGUAAAACUCUGUUGUUAGGGAAGAACAAGUGCUAGUUGAAUAAGCUGGCACCUUGACGGUACCUAACCAGAAAGCCACGGCUAACUACGUGCCAGCAGCCGCCGUAA